CUACGGGUGGCAGCAGUGGGGAAUAUUGGACAAUGGGGGAAACCCUGAUCCAGCAAUGCCGCGUGUGUGAAGAAGGCCUGCGGGUUGUAAAGCACUUUCGGUUGGGAGGACUGCUUCUAGCACUAAUAUUGUUGGAAGUUGACGUUACCUUCAGAAGAAGCACCGGCUAACUCCGUGCCAGCAGCCGCGGUAAUACGGAGGGUGCAAGCUUUAAUCGGAAUUACUGGGCGUAAAGCGCGCGUAGGCGGCUAGAUCAGUCGGGUGUGAAAGCCCCGGGCUUAACCUGGGAACUGCAUCCGAUACUGUCUAGCUUGAGUACAGGAGAGGAGAGUGGAAUUCCACAUGUAGCGGUGAUAUGCGUAGAUAUGUGGAGGAACACCAAUGGCGAAGGCAGCUCUCUGGCCUGAUACUGACGCUGAGGUGCGAAAGCGUGGGGAGCAAACAGGAUUAGAUACCCGCGUAGUC
rnacentral:rRNA from 1 species